rnacentral:rRNA from 1 species
UACGGAGGGUGCAAGCGUUAUCCGGAUUUACUGGGCUUAAAGGGUGUGUAGGCGGGCAUUUAAGUCUGGGGUGAAAUCUCCGAGCUCAACUCGGAAACUGCCUUGGAUACUAUUUGUCUUGAAUUAUGUUGAGGUUGGCGGAAUAUAACAUGUAGCGGUGAAAUGCAUAGAUAUGUUAUAGAACACCGAUUGCGAAGGCAGCUAACUAAGCAUAUAUUGACGCUGAGGCACGAAAGCGUGGGUAGCGAACAGG